UACGGAGGGUGCAAGCGUUAUCCGGAUUCACUGGGUUUAAAGGGUGCGUAGGAGGGCAGGUAAGUCAGUGGUGAAAUCUCCAAGCUUAACUUGGAACUGCCGUUGAUACUAUCUGUCUUGAAUAUUGUGGAGGUGAGCGGAAUAUGUCAUGUAGCGGUGAAAUGCUUAGAUAUGACAUAGAACACCAAUUGCGAAGGCAGCUGACUACAGGGAUAUUGACACUGAGGCACGAAAGCGUGGGGAUCAAACAGG
rnacentral:rRNA from 1 species